GCCUUCGUAGUGUAGUGGUCAGCAUGCUCGACGCGUAACCGAGAGGUCCGUGGUUCGAUUCCCGGCGAAGGCG
rnacentral:tRNA from 1 species